GCCAAGCGUGGUGGUGCACGCCUGUUAUCCCAGUGACUUGGGAGGCUGACACAGGAGGAUUGCAAGUUUGGGGCCAGCUUCAGCAAUUUAUCGAGGCCCUCAGCAACUUAGCAAGACCCUGUCUCAA
rnacentral:sRNA from 1 species